rnacentral:rRNA from 1 species
UACGAAGGGGCUAGCGUUGUUCGGAAUCACUGGGCGUAAAGCGCACGUAGGCGGAUGUGUCAGUCAGGGGUGAAAUCCCGGAGCUCAACUUCGGAACUGCCUCUGAUACAGCACGUCUUGAGUUCGAGAGAGGUGGGUGGAAUUCCUAGUGUAGAGGUGAAAUUCGUAGAUAUUAGGAAGAACACCGGUGGCGAAGGCGGCCCACUGGCUCGAUACUGACGCUGAGGUGCGAAAGCGUGGGGAG